UUCCAUCAUUGCAAAUUUGCUUACUCACUGAAAUGCAUUUGCAACCCCAAAUCAAUACCGACAGGGCGUUUCCGCUCAUCUGAGGAUGUGCAGAGAGCAGGAAAACACUGGAGUGGCCCAGCGUGCAUGGCUCCCAGCUGGGGUCAGCCGAGGAGAGGCUCUGGCCUGGCUUCGCCUCUCCUCCUGUAAACAAGUGUCCUUUUGGAGGAGGGCUCUGGAGUGUGCCCCACGCCUGGCUACGUCCUCCAUGCUCUGGAAAUCUCUCUAGGUGGCAUGAUACCUAGUAUGGCAUAGAUGCUGCAUAAAUAGCUGUCACCCUGUCUUGUCUGGGGGAUAAUGACAGGGAAAAGGCUUCAUGUCUUCCGAACACACUAAAAUUUUUUUUCGGAAUAUUUUGGAUCCAAUGUAGGUUGGACUCACAGACACAGAACCCACAGAUACAGGGAGCCAGCUGUAUGUUAGCUGUUGUCUUUCAACCGAAACAUGCAGAAGACAAAGUACUAGUCGAUGGGCUGAGAAAGCAGUUGUGACCAGCACCUGAAGGAACCUGACCCUGUGUUUCCCCUCGGAGCAGAGGUCGGUAUUCACUGAUUCACUGUUUGCUGGGGCUUUAAAGGACAGGACUACCAUGGAUGACGAGAACUGACGCUAUGUGGAUUGACUUAUGCGUCGUCUUCUCUUGCUAUGAGUGUGAGGAUGUUGCUGUGUUCUGCUUCCGACCCAAGCCAGGCAUGCAGUAAGUGCUCAAUAAAUGUUUUUGUUUUAUUUUGGGAGGACUGAGGACUGAACCCAAGGACACUGAGCUACAUCCCAUCCUUUUUGUUUUUUAUUCUGAGACAAGGUCUCACUACAUUGCUGAGGGUCUCACUAAGAUGCUGAGGCUCACCUCAAACUUACGAUCCUCCUGCCUUAGGCUUCCAAGUCACUGGGAUUACAUGUGUGCAUCACCACACCCAGCUCCAAUAGUUUUUUUUUUUUUUAAUAUUUAUUCUUUAGUUGGACACAAUAUCUUUAUUUUAUUUAUUUAUUUUUAUGUGGUGCUGAGGAUUGGACCCAGGGCCUCGCACAUGCUAGGUGGGCGCUCUGCUGCUGAGCCAUAAUCCGAGCCCCCAAUCAUUCUUUUAAUCAAUCAAUGAAGUCAUAUAGAAUUAAUAAAAAGUUUAUAUAAAACGAUCCAGUCCAGAACUGCUAGGCUGGUGGCUACUAAGGAUCAGAGCCGCGCUGGGUUGGUUUGCAGAAGCUACACUGAGUACCUGGAAAGGCAUCGAAGCCCAUUGGGAUGGGCCAGGUUGCCUCUGGGUCUCCCUAGAACCUGUGCCUGGUGGACCUAGAGACUCCCUAAUGCUGAGGGGCUCCAGUGGACACCCCAAAGGAUCAACCUGGUGAGUUUUGCAUGGGAGCACCCACACCUCUGGGCCCCAGUCUGAAGCCACAGAUCCAUCUUUCCCUCUCCCAGGAAGCCUUCCCUGGAACCAAGGGUCUCCUCUGGGCUCCCAGGGUCCCGACAGGCACAUGAGUCCAGGGACUGUGGGCCCUGUGCCCCCCACCAAGCUGAGUUCUUGAGGCAGAGCCCGACAGCUGCGGUUUCCUGCUGUGAUCUCGGCUUCCUCCUGGUACAGUUGUCAAAUGACCAUAAGAGUCAUUCUAACGAUGGCUGCUGCACCAGGCGCCUCGAUAGACCUCUUGUAAGUUACCCAUUUCAUCUAAUUCCCACCCACCACCCAACGGUGCUGGGGUUUGAAUGUGUUCCCCAAAACUCACGGGUUAGGAACUUAGUGUUGGGAGGCCAGCCUACUGGGGGAGACGUUUAAUUCAGGAGGAUGGAGCUCUUGGGAGGGGACUCCUGUGACCAUGGAAAGGCAUGGAGGAGCAGGCGAGUUCUCAUCCCUGUCUGCUGCCCCCACCCCACCAGCCUUCUGCCAGGUGAGGACAUAACAAUCCUCCCUCUAGAGGAUGUGCCAGUCAAGAACCUGUCUGGAAGCGGCAACCCACCUGCAGGUGCCUGGCCUCGACCUGCAAGAGCCCAACCUCAGAGCCAUGAGGGGAUGAAUCUGUGCUCUUCCUAAAUUAAAACAAAAAAACAGCACAAAAGUCGUCUAAGGUGAAUGCGAACAGUUAUUCCCAUCUCUCAGUUAAAGAACGAAGUUCAGAGAGGAUGAUUCACGCUCAGAGUUGCACAGCUUGUAAGUCUGAAUCAGGUCACACUGACCCUCUUGCCAGAUGGGGUGUCAGGAGAACUACAGCUCUGAGCUGAUCCUGGGGUGAGGUCACCGUGCCCACUGCCCUAUACACACACAGAGACCCUGGGCUGGGCCCCACCUCACCGCACACUGCAUAGCCCUUCUGCCCAGGCCCAGAGCGCUGGGCCAAGAGGAGUUGGGGACAGGUCCCUGAAGGAGCCAGAGCUCAUUACCUGAACAAGGUCCUUCACUUGCAGAGGACAAGCCCCUCCCUCCAGCCUCUGCUGCCUGGGUUCUAAGAGGGAGGUGCCUUGACAAGAAGCUCCCAGCCUGGUCUCAGAUCCUGUGACUGAAAAGGGAAGUUCACGAGAGGAGUCAAGGUGGGUUUUUAAACACCCCCCUCUGCCUGGUGGAGCACCUCUGCAGUCCCAGGUAUUUGGGAGGCCGAGGCAGAAGGAUUGCAAGUCCCAGGAUGGCUUCGGCAACUUAGUGAGAGCCUGUGUCAAAAUAAAAAUUAAAAAGAGCUGCAGAUAGACCUCAGAGGUAGAGUGCUGGCCUGGCAUGCUGUGAGGCCCCAGGGUGGGUCCCCAGUACAAAACAAAAGUGGGGAGAAAAAGAAAUAUCCAAUUCUCUCUCCAUGCCUGAGCUUCGGGACGCAGGCCUGGGGAGCCUUCCUCAGUGAGCGCCAAGUCCCCACGUAGAUAUCACAGAACAUCUUCUCCUCCAGCCUGGAUAAGCAGGGCUGACUUUAUGCCGCGUCAGGAAUGACCUUGCUGUCUAAGCCAGACCGCCCCGAAUGCACCAGAUCUCUGGGCUACAACACCUCCCCUCGCAGAGCUGAGAUGCUGCAGGGAGACACAGGAUCCACAAAACCAAGGGUUCCACAGAGUACGUCAGGUAGUGACUCCUGGGAGUAAAGUAAACCAGGGAAGGGAGAGGAGGUGUGGAGGGUGUGAUAUUAAAU
rnacentral:lncRNA from 1 species